rnacentral:rRNA from 1 species
ACCACUAGAUCGCUGCUGACAGUGUUGUAGCACUGUGCAAGUCUAAAAAUUUACCAACAGUAUGAGACAUCAUAAGACGGACGAUAAAGUCCGAACAGCACAAUAAAUCUACACACUUGUAAAAGACAAACCACUUAUUAAUUAAGUGGCUCACACCAUAUUUGUUACUGUUAAAUUUAUAUACUCGGUAUUAAUUAAUUAAAACUGUUUUAAAAAAAGCAUACUUUUUACAGUAAAACUUAAAAAACAUGCAUUUUAAUUAUACUUAGAGUAUCAUUUAACACGUCGCAACGUCCUACUAACGGAAAAGUGCGGUCCACCAUUACUCUAGCUAAAAAUUAACUGCUAGCGACCAAACCCCCUAUCAUAGUAAAAUACCAGAUAGGGCGAAAGACCAUCUCAAUACAUUUCAAAUCUGAGCACAUGGUAAGACGUGAAUCUGCUCUUUCGACCUGUAGGUCUUUUCCGUUUACCCCUGAG